GGAUAGUCUAGUGGUCUAGGGUGUUUGACUCCCAGCCAAAAGGUUCUGGGUUAAAACCCCAGUGUCCGAAGUCUA